rnacentral:rRNA from 1 species
CACGUAGGGGGCGAGCGUUGUCCGGAUUUAUUGGGCGUAAAGAGCUCGUAGGUGGCUCGGUAAGUCGGGUGUGAAAUUUCGAGGCUCAACCUCGAGACGCCACCUGAUACUGCUGUGGCUAGAGUCCGGUAGGGGAGCGUGGAAUUCCUGGUGUAGCGGUGAAAUGCGCAGAUAUCAGGAGGAACACCGGUGGCGAAGGCGGUGGUCUGGGCCGGCACUGACGCUGAGGAGCGAAAGCGUGGGUAGCAAACAGG